rnacentral:lncRNA from 1 species
CUAACUCUCGUGAAACAUUCAGCAACAGUGAAACAGAUAUGCAGGAGGAAUCCUUGAUUUGUGUGUUACUUAGAACUUUUUGGAAGGAAAUCUAAUGAAAAGAACUUCGCAUCCAGACCGCAUAAGACGGUUAUUUUGAAGCACUACCCUGCCAUCUUCUCAGUCUGCCAUCUUGCCAGUUAGUCUCUCUCUUGCCUCAACACCUCAUUGCUCUAAUUCACUGGGAUUCAUUGGCCUAUCGUAUGGUUGAUGAGGCAAGUUGACUUUUCAUGCAUAUCACAACACUUGCUUAUCUUGGAUUUAUUAUGUCUUUCAAUGCUGAGACACUAGAGGGAACUAAGACCCUACCUGGGUGGAAGACAGAGAGUAACUUCAGGCUUGAGCAUAAGAUUCCUAGAACAUGGUCUGCUUAUUUCACAACCAACCAAUCAGAAGAAUAUCAUAGACCCUUGCAGCCUUCACCUGAAAUUUUGCUUAUAAAAUCUUCUCCCUGAAAGCCACUGGGAUUUAAGGGGUUUUAAGCAUAAUCCACUGCUCUCCUUCCUUGGCCCUGCAAUAAAUCCUUCUCUG